UACGAAGGGGGGCUAGCGUUGCUCGGAUUGACUGGGCGUAAAGGGCGCGUAGGCGGUUCGUACAGUCAGACGUGAAAUUCCUGGGCUCAACCUGGGGGCUGCGUUUGAUACGUGCGGACUUGAGUGCGGAAGAGGGUCGUGGAAUUCCCAGUGUAGAGGUGAAAUUCGUAGAUAUUAGGAAGAACACCAGUGGCGAAGGCGGCUCACUGGCUCGGUACUGACGCUGAGGCGCGAAAGCGUGGGGAGCAAACAGG
rnacentral:rRNA from 1 species